GAUGAAGAACGCAGCGAAAUGCGAUAAGUAAUGUGAAUUGCAGAAUUCAGUGAAUCAUCGAAUCUUUGAACGCACAUUGCGCCCGCUAGUAUUCUGGCGGGCAUGCCUGUUCGAGCGUCAUUUCAACCAUCAAGCCCCAGGCUUGUGUUGGGGACCUGCGGCUGCCGCAGGCCCUGAAAACCAGUGGCGGGCUCGCUGUCACACCGGGCGUAGUAGAUUUUAUCUCGCUCAGGGCGUGCUGCGGGUUCCGGCCGUUAAAAAGCCUUUUUUACCCAAGGUUGACCUCGGAUCAGGUAGGAAGACCCGCUGAACUUAAGCAUAUCAAUAAGCGGAGGA
rnacentral:misc_RNA from 1 species